UUCCGGUUGAUCCCGCCGGAGGCUACCGCUAUUGGAGUUCGAUUAAGCCAUGCGAGUCGAGAGUCUUAGGGACUCGGCGCACCGCUCAGUAACACGUGGGUAACCUGCCCUAUGCUGGGGGAUAACCUCGGGAAACUGAGAAUAAUACCCCAUAGUUCACCACGCCUGGAACGGUGGGUGGACCAAAGCUCCGGCGGCAUAGGAUGGGCCUGCGACGUAUCAGGUUGUAGGGGGUGUAACGUACCCUCUAGCCAUCAACGCGUACGGGUGUUGGGAGACAUAGCCCGGAGAUGGAUUCUGAGACACGAAUCCAGACCCUACGGGGUGCAGCAGGCGCGAAAACUUGGCAAUGCGAGCAAUCGUGACCAGGGAACUCCAAGUGGCUGGGGUAAUACCCAGUUUUUUCUUGACUCUUCAAAGGUCUUGGAAUAAGGGGUGGGUAAGGACGGUGCCAGCCGCCGCGGUAAUACCGGCGCCUCAAGUGGUAGUCGCUUUUAUUGGGCCUAAAACGUCCGUAGCCGGUCUGGUACAUUCGUGGGUAAAUCAACCCGCUCAACGGGUUGAAUUCUGCGAGCACGGCCAGACUUGGGACCGGGAGAGGUGUGGGGUACUCUCAGGGUAGGGGUAAAAUCCUGUCAUCCUGAGAGGACCACCUGUUGCGAAGGCGCCACACUAGAACGGAUUCGACGGUCAGGGACGAAACCUAGGGGCACGAACCGGAUUAGAUACCCGGGUAGUCCUAGGUGUAAACGCUGUGGACUUGAUGUUGGGGGCGCUCCGAGCGCUUUCAGUGUCGAAGCGAAGGUGAUAAGUCCACUGCCUGGGGAGUACGGUCGCAAGGCUGAAACUUAAAGGAAUUGGCGGGGGAGCACUGCAACCUGAGGAUUGUGCGGUUUAAUUGGAGUCAACGCCGG
rnacentral:rRNA from 1 species